GGCUUUAAUAGCCAGAGAGAUAAGUAUGGUUUGUGGCUAAGCAUGGUGGGGAGAGACUGUGAAACAAACACAGGCAAGCUGCUGUACACCUCUUCAGAAAUCUCCCAGACUGUUAUCUUGUCUCCACCACGUGGGAUUGCUGAGUUAACAUGAGGGGGGAAACGGAGGUACAUCUUCUUAUCGGCACAUGCACUAGGGCUGCGAUGAAAGGAGUCAAAUCCCUCCACUCAACACUGCAGAGAUACUGUAGAGGGGAAAGAUAAACUCCAGGUGGUGUGAUGAAGAUUGGGCUUCUCUGGCAUGCCGUUGUCACGAUGAUAUGAACACUACCCUGAACGGAUGACCUGACAUUCUCCUGUAGAAUUCUCUGAUACAGAGCAGAAUUCAUGGUUCCUUCUAUUAAGGCUUUACAGACGCUCCCCACCCCUUGGCUGCAACCCUCCUAAUUUAGUGUACUCUGCGCACACACCCCAUAUGGAAUUCCUGGUCCUUCUCCCUCCUGUCUCCUGAUUCUGUCUCCUCGACCCUACACUCCUCCAUUUGCGCAUCCGAUGACUCACACUGUCCCCUUUCCUCCCGCCUGGCUCGGCCCUCCUGCUCAUGGUUGAGUGACUUGCGAGCUUACAGAACAGGGAUGUGCGCAGCUAAGUAAAAAUGGAGGAAAACAAAACUUCCGGAGGACCUAUCGUGCUUUCACCCUCCUCUACCUUCCUCUGUAUCCACUGCUAAAGUCACUUUCUAUGGCUCUUAAUUUCAAGCUUCUGCCUCUAACCCUAGGAAACUCUUUUCCACCUUCUCCUCCCUCCUUAAUCCUCUACCACCUGCCUCUCUGCGGACAACUUUGUCAACCACUUUGAAAAGAAGUUUGACAACAUCCGCUCCUCAUUCAUUCAGCCUAUUGAGUCCACUGGUCCCACACAGAACUAC
rnacentral:lncRNA from 1 species